rnacentral:rRNA from 1 species
UACGAAGGGAGCUAGCGUUGUUCGGAAUCACUGGGCGUAAAGCGCACGUAGGCGGAUGUGUCAGUCAGGGGUGAAAUCCCGGAGCUCAACUUCGGAACUGCCUUUGAUACAGCACGUCUUGAGUCCGAUAGAGGUGGGUGGAAUUCCUAGUGUAGAGGUGAAAUUCGUAGAUAUUAGGAAGAACACCGGUGGCGAAGGCGGCCCACUGGAUCGGUACUGACGCUGAGGUGCGAAAGCGUGGGGAGCAAACAGGG